UGGGAUGGCACAAACAAGAGCCUUGUGGGCAGUGAUAAGGCAGCCCCUGGCCCCAGGGCAGUGUCCCCUUUCUGCUGAGUCAGACUCUGACACAGCAGAAAACAUUUCUGCUGAGCCAGACCGGCAGCCAGGGGAAAACAGACAGCUUUUAAAUUUAUUUAUUUUUCUUAGCAGGACCAGGAGGGCAGCUCUGGAGUCCCCAGCACGGGCUGCUCACCCCUGUGUCAGCGAGGGGCUCAGGACCCUCCUCUGCCUGAGGGGCAGAGCCCAUGGCAGGCUCAGGAGAUCGACAUUCCCAAAGGGAUGGUGGGAUCCAGCCCCUCUUCUCCAUCCUCCCUUCUGCUGCCCUGCUGCCAGCCUUGGGGGAAGGCUGUGUGGAAGGUGCCAGCUGCUGUUGAAACCUUUCCUGUUUCCAUAAGAGAGGGAAUUUCACACCUUGUCCUCCUCCCAGAGAACGGCUCCCAGGGGAUCCAAUCUCCCUGGCUCCACUGCUCCCCCUGUGCUGGCCGCAGGCAGAGCUCCCUGUGGGGAAACUGAGGCACAAAGCAGAGUGGCUGCUCUCCAGAAAUGCCAUGAAAUGCUCGUGACAGGGCCAGACCCCCUUCAAGGAAGGGGCAUGUUUGCUGUGCACAAAGUAAGGAACACAGCAAGAUAAAGUCUUCCUCAGAAUAAAUAGAAUGCCUUAAAAUGUUUAGAAUUUUAUAAUCAGAAUCUUAGAAUCAUGGAAUCCCAGACUGGUUUGGGUUGGAUGGGACCUCGCAGCUCAUCCAUUUCCACCCCCUGCCAUGGACAGGGACACCUUCCACCAUCCCAGGCUGUUCCAAGCCCCAGUGUCCAGCCUUAGCCAGGCUUUUAUCCUCAUUCAGUUGUGGGGUGGGGGUGUAGUGUCCUCCUGGCCAGCCCAGCCCCAGGCCAGGGAGGUGGGUGCUGAGCCAGGUGUGCUCCAGGCAAGCUGUGCUCCCAGCCCAGCCUCUUCCACUGGGACUGGCCAGCUUUUGGCUCAGGCUGCUUUAGGGACCCACAGCACAAAGGGAUUGUGUUGGGAAGUGAGAAGCUGUCCGGACUGAGCUCCAUGGAUUGAGAGGCACAAAAUUCACCCAGGAUCUCCUGUGACCCCAGGAGCCUGUGUUUUUCACUAGUCCCUUCCAAGCAGGCCCUGAGGGAGGGUCUGAAGGCAUCAGCACUGCCCCAGGAACCUCUGCUAAUUUGAGAUUUAUCCACCCUCGGAGGUAAAGCCUAGGCUGGGAUGUUGUUGUGAUGAGAGGCAGAAGGAGCAGAGCAGAGCUGGGGGAUGAGCUGCCCCUGCACUGCAAGGCUCAGUUUUCCCCACUCAGCUCCAGAGAUGUCCCAGACACGAGGCUGGAGCCACGGGGCAGCUGCUCCCCAGCACUCUGCACUCAUCUUUGCCAGUGGUUGUGCCAGGUGCUGCUGCCUGAGGAUGGCUUCCUCCUCCUCCUCCCGCUGCCUGUGAUGGGGGAUGGCUGCUGGGGAGCUUCUCCAGGGCUGGAGAAACUUCUCACACACUACAGUCAGCGGCUUUGUGCAGGCCCAGGUGAGCCCAGGGAACAGCUGGACUGGCUGGUGGCUGGGAGGAGACCUGGAACGGCCCAGUGCUGGAGCUGGAGAGCGGACAGAUGGCCCCAGGCAUGGAUCUGUUCUGCUCGGGGGCUGCAGGGUCCCCACAGUGAAGUGACGCACGUGGGACCCUGUGUGGGCCUGAGUGAGGAGCAGCUGGCACUGGCCGUGCCCAGAUGUGGAUGCAGAUGUGG